GCUGUCUCAAAAAACAAAACAAAACAAAACAAAAACCCGUUGAACUCUGUUAGGUAGAGCUUUGAUGGAGGCAGCCACUGGUUAGCACUUUUUGUGGACUCCAAUCAGAGGAAUGGAAAUGAGUUUUCUCUGUCCCACUGAAAAGACAACAGUGACAAAGCUGAUAUGCACUUGAGAUUAGGGAAUCUGCUGUCUCAGAGAUACCACUGGCGACUUCCUCCCAGUGUCAAUGUGACUUAAUUGUCUUGUUCUGCUUCGCCGGCCAUUCUCCUGACUCAGUGUGAUGGCAUUCUUAAUUGUGACUGGGCAAGGGGACCUGGUCAAGCAGCAGUCUGAAUCCCACAGACGAUGCCCUGGACUGUGGUUGGGGCUGUGGGACUUCGAAGGAGGGCUCUCCUGUCUGCCACCAUCCUGGGUUGACAAUUCUACACAAGGAGGUCCAUGAAAGACCUCCUCCUCCUUCUCCACCUCCCUCUACAAUAUAUGAGUAUUUUCUCCACCUCCCUCUACAAUAUUUUUUACAGAGUCAAGAGGAUCCUAUGAAUUUCCCACUGGGUUAAAAAUAUGACACAAUCCAAGGAGACAGCAUACCCAGUAGUGCCGUGUAGACUGUCGUAAACACCGUUUCACCAGGCUGCACAGAUGAUGCUGCUCUUCCCUUCACCUCCCAUCCUGUCGAAAAGGUUUUGUUAUUUUGUGCUCAUUUCAGAAGCUGAUGUGUAAAUGGUGUGUAUUUCUGUUGCCAUGACAACCCAGCAGCAAUUGGCCUGGGCUUCUUACCAGAGUACAAAUGUGCUCUUGACACGAUGCUUAUCAGACUUUGCCAGACAAUUUUCCCUCCUGGAUUCACACAAAAGGUUUCGAAGACUCCUAACUGCAUUUAGAGGAGAGACAGGCUGAAAUUUCGCACUUGGCUCACAUGAAUGAUGAAGCUCUAAAGCUCUGAUCCCCUGCUGAAGUCAUCGUGUUCUAGUCUAUCAUUUCAGUACUCUGGGGGCAACUCUGUAUAAUUAAAGAGGACCAAGUAUAAAUGUGGCAAAAAAAUCUUGCUGGCUACCAGAACUGGGCUUUUGUUGAUGUUUCAUGUGACACAUAACUGUCUCUGCAUUUAAUAAAAGGUCACUGUGA
rnacentral:lncRNA from 1 species